UGGGGAAUAUUGCACAAUGGGCGAAAGCCUGAUGCAGCAACGCCGCGUGAGUGAUGAAGGUCUUCGGAUUGUAAAGCUCUGUCUUUUGGGACGAUAAUGACGGUACCAAAGGAGGAAGCCACGGCUAACUACGUGCCAGCAGCCGCGGUAAUACGUAGGUGGCGAGCGUUGUCCGGAUUUACUGGGCGUAAAGGGUGCGUAGGCGGAUGUUUAAGUGAGAUGUGAAAUACCCGGGCUUAACUUGGGUGCUGCAUUUCAAACUGGAUAUCUAGAGUGCAGGAGAGGAGAAUGGAAUUCCUAGUGUAGCGGUGAAAUGCGUAGAGAUUAGGAAGAACACCAGUGGCGAAGGCGAUUCUCUGGACUGUAACUGACGCUGAGGCACGAAAGCGUGGGUAGCAAACAGGAUUAGAUACCCUGGUAGUCCACGCCGUAAACGAUGAGUACUAGGUGUAGGAGGUAUCGACCCCUUCUGUGCCGCAGUAAACACAUUAAGUACUCCGCCUGGGAAGUACGAUC
rnacentral:rRNA from 1 species